AUCUCUGUAGAGUCUGCAUAUCAAUAAGCGGAGGAAAAGAAACUAACUAGGAUUCCCUUAGUAACGGCGAGUGAAGCGGGAAGAGCUCAAAUUUGAAGUCUUCAAGGUCUUACCUUGACGAAUUGUAGUUUAAAGAAGUGUUUUCUGUUGGUGUUUUGGUAAAAGUUCUUUGGAAUAGGACAUCAUAGAGGGUGAGAAUCCCGUAUUUGACCAUUACUUCCAGCGUUGUGAUACACUUUCAAAGAGUCGGAUUGUUUGGGAAUGCAGUCCAAAAUGGGUGGUAAAUUUCAUCUAAAGCUAAAUAUUGGCGAGAGACCGAUAGCGAACAAGUACCGUGAGGGAAAGAUGAAAAGAACUUUGAAAAGAGAGUUAAACAGUACGUGAAAUUGUCAAAAGGGAAGCGUUUGACACCAGUGUUGUUUUCUCGAAAAUCAAUUAAAAAAAGUUGGAUUUUGUAUUGUUAAGACCUUAUCAGCUUACUGUACUCUUUUCUUGCUUUUUUUAAUGCACUUUUCGUUUAACAAGUCAACAUCAAUUUCUUUUGUUGUAAAAGAGUCAUUGGAAGGUGGCUUUCACUUCGGUGAAAGUGUUUAUAGCCUUUGGCUUCUGCAAUCGGAGAGAUUGAGGUCUGCAGCGUAGAUCCUUCGGGGCUAGAUACGUAGAUGCUAAGUUAUAGUUUUUUAUAGACAACUUGUUGACUAUAAUUAAUCAUGUAGCUUACUCGUUUGCGCUAUUUUACCUACGCUUAGGAUGUUGAAGAUGUAGCACAUCAU
rnacentral:rRNA from 1 species